GAUGAACGCUGGCGGCGUGCCUAACACAUGCAAGUCGAGCGAGAAACUAUGAACUGACACUUCGGUUGAUUUUUAUAGCGGAAAGCGGCGGACGGGUGAGUAACGCGUAGGCAACCUGCCCUUCACAGAGGGAUAGCCUCGGGAAACCGGGAUUAAAACCUCAUGAAAUCGUAGUAUCUCAUGAUACCACGGUCAAAGAUUUAUCGGUGAGGGAUGGGCCUGCGUCUGAUUAGUUAGUUGGUGAGGUAACGGCUCACCAAGGCAGUGAUCAGUAACCGACCUGAGAGGGUAAUCGGUCACAUUGGAACUGAGACACGGUCCAAACUCCUACGGGAGGCAGCAGUGGGGAAUAUUGCACAAUGGAGGAAACUCUGAUGCAGCAACGCCGCGUGAACGAUGAAGGUUCUAUGAAUCGUAAAGUUCUGUUCUGAGGGAAGAAACAAAUGACGGUACCUCAGGAGCAAGCCCCGGCUAACUACGUGCCAGCCGCCGCAGUAACAC
rnacentral:rRNA from 1 species